AAAAUCCGUCGACUUUAAAAAUCGUGAGGGUUCAAGUCCCUCUAUCCCCAAAAAAGCCUUAUUUGACUCCCAAAAUAUUUCACCUAUCCCC
rnacentral:tRNA from 1 species